GUAGGUAGAGUUCAGUGGUAGAGCACAUGCUUAGCAUGCAGGAGGUCCUGGGUUCAAUCCCCAGUACUUCUG
rnacentral:tRNA from 1 species